rnacentral:tRNA from 1 species
AGCUCCGAGGUGUUCAACAUAUAAGAUUGCAAAUCUUAAGAGGCAGACUAAGACCUGCCGGGGCUU